rnacentral:rRNA from 1 species
CCUACGGGGUGCUGCAGUGGGGAAUAUUGGACAAUGGGCGAAAGCCUGAUCCAGCCAUGCCGCGUGUGUGAAGAAGGCCUUCGGGUUGUAAAGCACUUUCAGUGGGGAAGAAAGCCUUGGGGCUAAUACCCUCGAGGAAGGACAUCACCCACAGAAGAAGCACCGGCUAACUCCGUGCCAGCAGCCGCGGUAAUACGGAGGGUGCGAGCGUUAAUCGGAAUUACUGGGCGUAAAGCGCGCGUAGGCGGUCUGAUAAGCCGGUUGUGAAAGCCCCGGGCUCAACCUGGGAACGGCAUCCGGAACUGUCAGGCUAGAGUGCAGGAGAGGAAGGUAGAAUUCCCGGUGUAGCGGUGAAAUGCGUAGAGAUCGGGAGGAAUACCAGUGGCGAAGGCGGCCUUCUGGACUGACACUGACGCUGAGGUGCGAAAGCGUGGGUAGCCAACAGGAUUAGAUACCCCAGUAGUC